rnacentral:rRNA from 1 species
UCCGGGGGGAGCAAGCGUUGUUCGGAUUUACUGGGCGUAAAGGGCGCGUAGGCGGUCAGCACAAGUCAGUUGUGAAAUCUCCGGGCUUAACUCGGAAAGGUCAACUGAUACUGUGCGACUAGAGUGCAGAAGGGGCAACUGGAAUUCUCGGUGUAGCGGUGAAAUGCGUAGAUAUCGAGAGGAACACCUGCGGCGAAGGCGGGUUGCUGGGCUGACACUGACGCUGAGGCGCGAAAGCUAGGGGAGCGAACGGG